AGCUGUUUUGGGACUACAACUCCCAUCAUCCCUAGCUAACAGGACCAGUGGUCAGGGAUGAUGGGAAUGGAAGUCCCAAGACAGCU